UGGUUUGACCUUACAAGGGGAUGU
rnacentral:siRNA from 1 species